GACGAACGCUGGCGGCGUGCCUAAUACAUGCGAGUCGAACGAGAGCGACCGGUGCUUGCCCUGGUCAAUCUAGUGGCGAACGGGUGAGUAACACGUGGGUAACCUGCCCAUCAGAGGGGGAUAACAUCCGGAAACGGAUGCUAAAACCGCAUAGGUCUUCGAGCCGCAUGGCUUGAAGAGGAAAAGAGGCGCAAGCUUCUGCUGAUGGAUGGACCCGCGGUGCAUUAGCUAGUUGGUGAGGUAACGGCUCACCAAGGCCGUGAUGCAUAGCCGACCGGAGAGGGUGAUGGGCCACAUUGGGACUGAGACACGGCCGAAACGCCGACGGGAGGGAGAAGUAGGGAAUCUUCCGCAAUGGGCGGAAGACUGACGGAGCAACGCCGCGUGAGUGAAGAAGGUUUUCGGAUCGUAAAACUCUGUUGUUAGAGAAGAACAAGUGCUAGAGUAACUGUUAGCGCCGUGACGGUAUCUAACCAGAAAGCCACGGCUAACUACGUG
rnacentral:rRNA from 1 species